UUGCACAGAGAACACCCAAGCGUGCUCCGUGGCUCCCUUGGUUAUAGUUCUGUGCUAUAUCAUUCUGUUCUCUUUCCUCUGCGUUGGAAGAUGAUGUUCUUCUGCACGUAUUCAGGAGAACAGCACAUGG